AGAAGACAACAAAAGUCCAUGAAGAACAGGGCACUUCUCAGCAACCCUCAAGGAAGCAAUUGAACUAAAGCUUGAAAACCAUGGGGUCACUGAGAGAAGGAGCCUGAAGAGAGAAAAGGAUGAAGGACCCAAAAAAGACUAACAUUUAACAGAUGGGAUGUGAAACAGAACCAGUUCCAGAAACCUAUGGAGAAAGCACAUGGAGAUAAUUAGUUCUACUUCCAGAGAGGGUAAACAUAUCACAAAUUUUUGUGACAUUGAAGAAAGAAGAGUUUCUUGAGCCAUCACUUUAUUAAUCUGCAAAGACUUCAUUGAUCUGUAUGACUUUGGCAUCCCUUUGAAUU
rnacentral:lncRNA from 1 species